AACUGGUUGGGGGUUGAUGCCGCUCUUCUGAUGAGAUCAUGGCAGGUCGAAACCAGUU
rnacentral:hammerhead_ribozyme from 15 species